GACGAACGCUGGCGGCGUGCUUAACACAUGCAAGUCGAACGGAAAGGCCCUGCUUUUGUGGGGUGCUCGAGUGGCGAACGGGUGAGUAACACGUGAGUAACCUGCCCUUGACUUUGGGAUAACUUCAGGAAACUGGGGCUAAUACCGGAUAGGAGCUCCUGCUGCAUGGUGGGGGUUGGAAAGUUUCGGCGGUUGGGGAUGGACUCGCGGCUUAUCAGCUUGUUGGUGGGGUAGUGGCUUACCAAGGCUUUGACGGGUAGCCGGCCUGAGAGGGUGACCGGCCACAUUGGGACUGAGUUACGGCCCAGACUCCUACGGGAGGCAGCAGUGGGGAAUAUUGCACAAUGGGCGGAAGCCUGAUGCAGCAACGCCGCGUGCGGGAUGACGGCCUUCGGGUUGUAAACCGCUUUCGCUUGUGACGAAGCGUGAGUGACGGUAAUGGGUAAAGAAGCACCGGCUAACUACGUG
rnacentral:rRNA from 1 species